AUAUUUUUUUUAAUUAUUUCUUAGAAGAAAUAAUGUUUUAAUUAGUAUUAUUUAUAAUUAUAAUUUAGGAACUCGGCAACUGUUAAUUUUACCUGUUUAUUAAAAACAUGUCUUUUUGUUAUUUAUUUAAGGUCAGGCCUGCCCAAUGAUUUUUUAUUUAAUGGCUGCAGUAUUUUAACUGUACAAAGGUAGCAUAAUCAUUUGUUUAUUAAUUUUAGACUUGAAUAAAAGGUUAGAUAAGAAUUAGUCUUUCUUAUUUAUAUAAAUAAGAAUUUAUUUUUUAAGUUAAAAAACUUAAAUAAUUUUAUAGGACGAGAAGACCCUAUAGAACUUUAUAUAUAAAUUCUUUAAUUAAAGAAUUUAUAUAUUGAAUUGGGGUGAUUUUAAUUUUUAAUUAACAAUUAAUUUUUUUGUCAAUAAUUUUUGAUUUUUUGAUCCAAUUUUUUUUGAUUAUAAGAUUAAGUUACCUUAGGGAUAACAGCGUUAUUUAAUUGGAGAGUUCUUAUUGAUAAUUUAAGUUUGCGACCUCGAUGUUGAAUUAAGAUAAAAAUUGGAGGUAGAUCUUUAUAUUUUUGGUCUGUUCGACCAUUAAUUUCUUACAUGAUUUGAGUUUAGAUCGGCGUAAGCCAGGUCAGUUUCUAUCCUUUAUAUAAAUUUUUAUUUUUUAGUACGAGAGGACCAAAAAUUUAAUAAAGACUUU
rnacentral:rRNA from 1 species